AACCGGAUCCCAGUCGGA
rnacentral:snRNA from 1 species